GUGACCCUCCCCCUGUGUGACCUUCCCCCUGUGUGACCCUCCCCCACCUGACUCUCUCCAGUCCAAUCUUCCCCCUUCUGAUUCCCCACUUGAUGGAUUCUCCCUGUAUCUGACUCUUCCCUGUCUGCCUGUUCCCCUGUGACCGCCCUCUGAGCCUCCCCAACCUGACUCACCCCCGUCUGACUCUCCCCUCGUCAUCCUUUCGGCUGGGCCUAACUCUCCCCUCAGGCUGACUCUCCCCAGGAUCCCUGUCAGCUGAAGGUGCCCCGGGGGACGGGAAAACUCUUUGGUACAAUGGUCUCUGUUGGGGAUUCUUGCCGGGAGAGACGUACUCUCCCGCGUGAAUGAGAGGGGAUCAGAACCUUGGUGAUGGAAUGAACGGACUCAGGAGAGCGAGCCAAAGAACAGUAAAGGGAGGAAAGUGGCUGCCCACCUGUUCACCCCAGUUGGGGUAGGAGGGACGAACAGCCCUGAACCGUCCCCCCAUUCUUACUUUUAUUAGACGGCUGUUCCCUGCACUCCCUUCAGCUUGCCCCAGGGACUCUGCCGGAUCAGGUGCCAGGCCCAAUCAGGAUCUGAGGCUCUUCCCCGAACUCCUUUCAGCUUGCCCCAAGGUCUCUGCCGGAUCAGGUGCCGGGCCCAAUCAGGGGCCGAGGCGCAUGUGAACAGUGUAUGCCUGGUGUCCCGAGGUCUACAUGGACAGCAUGCCUCCUAGUGCCUUAAAAAAGAAGAAAAAGAAAAACAAGGGUUGAAGUCACUGUGGCCAGGAAGUCACUGUGGUUUUGGUCUGGUUCAGGUUUUCUCAACAUCUUUCAGUAAGCACUCAGUAAAGAGCUCCCUGGAUUGGUUAAAGGGGAGGAUAAGCAAGCCGGG